rnacentral:rRNA from 1 species
AUGGCAUGCAUUUUUGGUGUUGCUGGAUCAAACAACGACCUCAAUGUGUUGAAUCAAUCUACUUUGUUCACCAACGUCUUACAAGGCCGAGCUCCUGCAGUUCAAUUUACAGUUUGUGGAAGCGAAUAUAAUAUGGGAUAUUAUCUGGUGGAUGGAAUAUACCCAGAAUGGGCUGCGUUUGUCAAAACAAUUCCACUCCCUCAGAAUGAGAGGGACAAAUGUUUUGCACGACGUCAAGAGGGGGCAAGGAAAGACGUGGAACGAGCAUUCGGAGUUCUACAAGAUCGAUUCGCCAUUCUGCGAAUCCCAGCACGGUUCUGGAAGAGAUCAUUACUUAGUAAAAUCAUGUAUGCAUGCAUCAUAAUACAUAACAUGAUAGUCGAGGACGAGAGAGAUACAUAUAGGGUCCGCUACGACUUUAAUUCGUACGACCAAGGGUGUAAUCCAAUUCCGCCAGUACAACCAGAGCAUGGACCAAUUGAUGGCUUCACCGAUCUCCUGGAUAGAAAUGCUGCUCUUCGUGACAGACGACGUCACAUCCGGCUGAAGAAAGACUUGGUGGAGCAUAUAUGGCGUCGAUUUGGAGAUGGUCAAGGGAACAAUUAG